ACUCCUAUCAGGACGUAUGGACAGGGUGUGUGGGUAGGGUGUGUGGGGCUCAUCAAUAACAGGCCCAGCACCACAUCCCAUCUAUUGUCCUUUGCUCAGAGUUAGUCAGCUUAUAUGCAUUGUGUUAAGUUCCUCAUGCCCAUAUUCUGUCAGUCACUAGCCCUCCAGGUCCAAGUUGCAACCAACUGUGUGGAGCUAGUUCACAGGCCAGACCAGCAGCAGCCUUUCCAGGAUGUAGGUGUCUCUUACAGAUUGUUUAUAAAUAUUGAACCUACUCUGCCUUUCAUAUGUUUGAUCAAUUAACAACACACUUGUAUUAUUUUUGUUCUUUAUCGAAUCACAGCAGUGAGUUGGAUGGAUGAAAUGGAGACCAGAUCACCAGCAGUAGUCAAAGGCCAGGAGGCUCAUUUAUCAAGAAAAGACUAAUGAGGCUAAUCCUGGUGAAGAUGGAACAACUUCACCAAAAGGUUCUGUUCUUAAAAACCCACGUUUGCCAGGAAUUACUGAGGCCGAGGUUGAAAGGGCAGUUCAAAACUGGCUCAGGCUGAGCCAAGAAGACUCUGGGAUGGCAGCUGGAAGGAGAAACCUAAGAAUAAUUAAUUUGUAGCCUAUAUAAUGCACAAUUGUUGGGUGUUUUUAUUUAGGCUACUAUUCAUACCUUUAUACCUUUAUUUACCUUGUCUCUUCACUUUAUAUCAGCAGUAGAUCUAUUAAAUGUCGGCAGUAGAUCAAUUAAAUGUUGGCUAAACAGCGGCGGAGAAGCAGGAAGUAUCGUUGAAACAUCGGCGGAAGAGAAAAAUCAACGUCUCCUUUACGUCUUGCCGAUGAGCAGCCGACGUCUAUACUGCAUUCUACUGACAUCUCGUGUGUAUAUUGUGCCAACAUUGGUAAGACAUGUACGUUACCUGGGUAGUUUAUUAUUAAUUCAUAUUUUCACAUCUUCAAGAAGUCAUUUCUGAAAAAAAGACUGUUCCAGAACAUGUUUUUCUUCUUACAAACAGCUUUCCUGAAAAGUAGUGACAUGCGACAUAAGCCCAGUUUCCUGAAUUCUCUCACAUUUUGUCUAAGGUUGGUACGCCAUUUAUUUUUUGAUGGUUCUUGCUGUGCUCAGCCAUGCUUAUAUGCCCCAGGUAAUUUCUACCCAGCAUUAUUCCUCUAGAUGCUGUUUGACAUCCAAGUCUUGCUUUAAUUCUGAAAUCAUAUCUGACUUUCUGCUUUGUCACAGUGGCUGCAUAACAACCCUCAUAUUGUUGUAUAAAAUCCCUCAGGUGGCUGUUGUGCCGGUACCAUCUGUGUACAAAAAUUAAAGGCAUUGUUUAAUAUUCCACUACACUUCAAUUGCAUUUUUAUUAUUAGAAUUCUGUCUGCGUUGCUGGGCAUCCAUUCACAUUUUCAGUUGUUUUUCUCUUUUUUUCAUAUUUUCUU
ensembl:lncRNA